ensembl:lncRNA
CGCCACCCAGGCUUGUAAAAGUGAGCCUAGUGGAGCUGAGACAGGAAAGGGAAGGGCGCGGGCGGCUGCGCCGAAGCCCCUCACGCUCCCCUGCACCCCUCCCUCCCGGCCGCACCUCGAGCUCCUUUCCUUUCUCCCCUUCCCCCGCCCCGAGCCCACUCCUCUCCGUGCCUCGAUCCCGGUACCGCGGCGGGGGCGGGACCGCGAAACCCCGGCUCUAAGCCCGGACGCCCCAGGGAUGCUGCGGGCCCCCCGGAGCUGCUUACCUGGGGCCGCGGCACCAGGAGCGGGCGCGGCGCGGCUCCUCCUCGCCUCCGCGCCCUCCUUCUCCGCUUCUCCCCGGACUCUGUCCUGGGCGCCGAGCUCUGAGACCGGGCCGGGCUGCAGCCGCCUUCCCCGCCGUCGCCUCGGCCGCCGCUGCUGCAGACAGAGGACGCCCAGUGGCGGCUGGAAGCCCGUAAACAACAAAAGCUUUCUAACUCUGAAGACUGGUAAAUUUAGGCUGUGAGAUGUACCAUGAAUUCGAAAAUCAACUCCUCAUGCUGGGAGCCGAUUGCCCCAAAUUCUUUCAAGUGAGAAGACAGGGACCGUUAGCUGAAAUGCCGCUGUUGAGUUUAGUGGUGUGAGCGUGCAUAAGGAUACAGAGCACAAGUUCCCAAAGUAAAACAACUCCCCACUCUGCCUAUCCCACUCUGCCAAUCCAAGAGACCAGGACAUCUGGCAUCACUCUUGAAAUCUAAAGAACUGACAAGAAGAAGGAAGGAAAGAAAACAAGAUUUCUGAAAUGGAGACGACAGUCUGGGAGAGAAGAAACAAGAUUUUUUUAUUGUGAUAAAAGAUCUUUAGUUAAAGAUUUUGUUUUUAUUGUAUGUGUGUUUGUGGGAGAGAGACCUAAGCUACCUGCUAUGGACUGAAUGUUUGCGUCCCCCCAAAAAUUCAUAUGUGGAAGACUAAUCCCCAAAUUGAUAGUAUUGGUAUUAGGAGAUGGGGCCUUUGGGAGGUAAUUAGGUCAUGAGGAUGGAGCCCUCAUGAAUGGGAUUAGUGCCCUUACAAGAAGAGACAAGAGAACUUGUUCUUUGCCAUGUGAGACUAAGACAAGAAGAUAGCCAUCUGCAAGCCAUGAAGGGAGUCUUCACAAGACCCUGGAUCUACCAACACCUUGAUCGUGGACCUCCCAGCCUUCGUAACUGUGCAAAUAAAUGUUUUUGUUUAAGUCACCAAGUCUGUGGUAUUCUGUUAUAUGAGCCUUAACUAUAGCACUACCUCAGGAGUUACUGUAGUGGUGGUUGUCUUUUACCCCAACUUUGGCAAAGGGGCCAUGCUGUAAUCUGUUCUUGUACUAGAAGACUAUUAGGAUUUCCAGGAAAUCAUUAAAGUUUUGCUACAACCAUG